rnacentral:rRNA from 1 species
UCGAGGAUCUUCGUCAAUGGGCGCAAGCCUGAACGAGCGAUGCCGCGUGAGCGAUGAAGGCCUUCGGGUUGUAAAGCUCAAAAGGGGUAAGAAAGGGCAACUUGAUCGAACCCCAGUAAGCUCGGGCUAAGUUCGUGCCAGCAGCCGCGGUAAGACGAACCGAGCGAACGUUGUUCGGAAUCACUGGGCUUAAAGGGCGCGUAGGCGGGUGCUCAAGUCCGGGGUGAAAUCCUCCAGCUCAACUGGAGAACUGCCUCGGAUACUGGGUGCCUCGAGGGUGAUAGGGGUAUGCGGAACUAUCGGUGGAGCGGUGAAAUGCGUUGAUAUCGAUAGGAACUCCGGUGGCGAAGGCGGCAUACUGGAUCACAUCUGACGCUGAGGCGCGAAAGCCAGGGGAGCAAACG